rnacentral:rRNA from 1 species
UAGGGAAUCUUCGGCAAUGGGGGCAACCCUGACCGAGCAACGCCGCGUGAGUGAAGAAGGUUUUCGGAUCGUAAAGCUCUGUUGUAAGUCAAGAACGAGUGUGAGAGUGGAAAGUUCACACUGUGACGGUAGCUUACCAGAAGGGGACGGCUAACUACGUGCCAGCAGCCGCGGUAAUACGUAGGUCCCGAGCGUUGUCCGGAUUUAUUGGGCGUAAAGCGAGCGCAGGCGGUUUGAUAAGUCUGAAGUUAAAGGCUGUGGCUCAACUAUAGUUCGCUUUGGAAACUGUCAAACUUGAGUGCAGAAGGGGAGAGUGGAAUUCCAUGUGUAGCGGUGAAAUGCGUAGAUAUAUGGAGGAACACCGGUGGCGAAAGCGGCUCUCUGGUCUGUAACUGACGCUGAGGCUCGAAAGCGUGGGGAGCGAACAGGAUUAGAUACCCUGGUAGUCCACGCCGUACGAUGAGUGCUAGGUGUUGGAUCCUUUCCGGGAUUCAGUGCCGCAGCUAACGCAUUAAGCACUCCGCCUGGGGAGUACGACCGCAAGGUU